UGCAUUCGUGUGUACCCUGCAUGUGUGUAUGUGCUGUGUGUGCAUUCGUGUGUACUGUGCAUCUGUGUGCUGUGUGUGCAUUCAUGUGUACUGUGCAUCUGUGUGUGUGCUGUGUGUGCAUUCAUGUGUACCCUGCAUCUGUGUGUGUGCUGUCUGUGCAUCCGUGUGUACCAUGCAUCUGUGUGUGCAUUCAUGUGUACUGUGCAUCUGUGUGUGCUGUG
rnacentral:lncRNA from 1 species